CUCCUCUAAAUGCUCCUCAGGUGAAGCUCCUGAAAAACCAAAGAGAAACUCAAAACUUCCAUCAGAGACAGUAGUCCUGCUGGUUCUCUGUGUCCUGCUGGCUGCUGCUCUCAUCAUUAUUAUCAGACUCUUUUUUGUCAUUUUGGUGAGCAAUGAAUCUAUCCAAACCCUGAGAGAGGAGAAUGAAGCUCUGAGGAAAAACCUCUCAGAAAUAACCUGGGGA